GAAGAGGAGCCCUAAGAAGGAUCGCGCAUUUCCUGCAGGUCCGAAAGCCAUCGUCCAGGUGGAUUUCCUUCUAAGACAAGCUGAGAGGUGAUGGUGGUACGUCCAGGCAUUUGACAUCGACCUCUUUGUCCAGCAGGUGAUGUGGUGUUUGGGGCAUUGGACU